rnacentral:rRNA from 1 species
UAGUCUGCAACUCGACUACAUGAAGCUGGAAUCGCUAGUAAUCGCGAAUCAGAAUGUCGCGGUGAAUACGUUCCCGGGCCUUGUACACACCGCCCGUCACACCAUGGGAGCCGGUAAUACCCGAAGUCAGUAGUCCAACCACGUGAGGACGCUGCCGAAGGUAGGAUUGGCGACUGGGUGAAGUCGUAACAAGGUACC